GUAAGGAUAUGUUGUGUGAAAAGUCCACGGGAAACUGUAAUGGUUGUGUUCCUCAGCAGUACGGUUUUAGAUGUGAACAAAACUGUUCUACACAAUGCCAGGGUCAGUUGUGUGAGAAAGUCAACGGGGUCUGCAAUCACUGUAUUCCUGGAAAGCACGGUACUAACUGUGAUCAGAGCUGUCCAGAAAAUUGUAAGGACAUGCUAUGUGAACGGUCUGCGGGAUC